AUGGAGUCGUCGUCCGCCGCAGCUGUCGAGACGGCCGUCACGGUGCCGUCGCCGUCGACAUUCGACGUGUCCAGGCGGCCCGACACGGCCGGCCUCGUGCUCAACAGCCCCAGGCCGCCGAGCCUGCGCGAGGAGCUCGUCGGCGUGGUCGGCAAGGCGUUCCGCCCGCACGGGAGCGGCCACGGUGGUGACCGCCGGCCGCCGCGGUGGGCGUGGGCCCUGGCCGCGCUGCAGGCCGUGUUCCCGGUGCUGCAGUGGGGGAGGACCUACACGCUCAAGUCCUUCCGGAGCGACGUCAUGGCCGGCCUCACGCUCGCCAGCCUCGGCAUCCCGCAGAGCAUUGGAUACGCCAAUCUAGCGAAGCUGGACCCCCAGUAUGGCCUUUACACGAGCGUGGUGCCGCCGCUGAUCUACGCGGUGAUGGGGACGUCGAGGGAGAUCGCCAUCGGGCCCGUCGCGGUGGUGUCGCUGCUGCUGUCGUCCAUGGUGCAGAAGGUGGUCGACCCGGCCGUGGACCCCGUCACCUACCGCACGCUCGUCUUCACCGUCACCUUCCUCGCCGGCGUCUUCCAGGUCUCCUUCGGCCUCUUCAGGCUGGGGUUCCUGGUGGACUUCCUGUCGCACGCGGCGAUCGUGGGGUUCAUGGGCGGCGCCGCCAUCGUCAUCGGGCUGCAGCAGCUCAAGGGCCUCCUCGGCCUCUCCCGCUUCACCAACAGCACCGACGUCGUCGCCGUCGCCAAGGCCGUCUUCUCCGCGCUCCACGACCCCUGGCACCCGGGCAACUUCUUCAUCGGCUGCUCCUUCCUCAUAUUCAUCCUCGCCACGCGAUUCAUCGGGAGGAAGUACAAGAAGCUCUUCUGGCUGUCGGCGAUCUCGCCGCUGCUCUCGGUCAUCCUGUCCACGGCCGCCGUCUACGCCACCAAGGCCGACAAGCACGGCGUCAAGAUCAUCCGCGAGGUGCACGCCGGCCUCAACCCGAGCUCCGUCAAGCUCAUCCAGCUCAACGGCCCCUACACCACCGAGUGCGCCAAGAUCGCCAUCAUCUGCGCCGUCAUCGCGCUCACGGAAGCCAUUGCCGUCGGAAGAUCUUUCGCCACGAUCAGAGGGUACAAGCUCGACGGGAACAAGGAGAUGAUCGCCAUGGGGUUCUCCAACGUCGCCGGAUCUCUAUCCUCGUGCUACGUCGCAACAGGCUCCUUCUCCCGGACCGCCGUCAACUUCAGCGCCGGCGCCAGGUCGACGGUGUCCAACAUCGUCAUGGCCGCCACGGUGUUCAUCGCCCUGGAGUUCUUCAUGAAGCUCCUCUACUACACGCCCAUGGCGGUGCUGGCCUCCAUCAUCCUCUCGGCGCUCCCCGGGCUGAUCGACAUCAGAGAGGCGUGCAACAUAUGGAGGGUCGACAAGAUGGACUUCCUCACAUGCCUCGGCGCGUUCCUCGGCGUGCUCUUCGGGUCCGUGGAGAUCGGCCUCGGAGUCGCGCUUGCCAUAUCGUUUGCGAAGAUCAUCAUCCAGUCACUCCGGCCUCAGGUGGAGGUUCUGGGCAGGCUGCAAGGAACAAACACCUUCUGCAGCGUCAGGCAGUACCCCGUGGCGUGCCGGACACCGGCCGUGCAGGUCAUACGCAUCGAUACGUCCUUCCUCUGCUUCAUCAAUGCGACUUUCAUCAAAGAGAGGAUCAUGGAAUGGGUAAGGGCAGAAGUGGACACAUCCAAUGAGAAGGUCAGGGAGAGGGUGCACUCAGUUGUCCUUGACAUGUCAAAUGUGGUGAACAUUGACACUUCUGGACUUGUGGGACUGGAGGAAACUCACAAGGAGCUAGAGUCUCUGGGCAUACAGAUGGCUAUUGCCAGUCCAGGAUGGCAGGCAAUUCAGAAGAUGAAGCUGGCACACGUUGUUGACAGGAUAGGAGAAGACUGGAUUUUCCUGACAGUAGGUGAAGCAGUGGAAGGGUGUCUAACUGCACACAAGGGCAGUGCUAUGGAGUGUUGA
rnacentral:rRNA from 1 species